AUUGAACGCUGGCGGCACGCCUAACACAUGCAAGUCGAGCGGUAACAUGCUUAGUAGCAAUACUAAGUGAUGACGAGCGGCGGACGGGUGAGGAACACGUAGGAACCUGCCCAAAAGUGGGGGAUAACUAAGGGAAACUUUAGCUAAUACCGCAUAAUUCUCUGAGGAGAAAAGUUGCCCGUAAGGGUAGCGCUUUUGGAGGGGCCUGCGUCCGAUUAGUUAGUUGGUGAGGUAAUGGCUCACCAAGACUGUGAUCGGUAACUGGUCUGAGAGGACGACCAGUCACACUGGGACUGAGACACGGCCCAGACUCCUACGGGAGGCAGCAGUGGGGAAUCUUGGACAAUGGGGGCAACCCUGAUCCAGCGAUGCCGCGUGGGUGAAGAAGGCCUUCGGGUUGUAAAGCCCUUUAGGCUGGGAAGAAGAGUGUGGGAUGAAUAAUCCUGUACUUUGACGGUACCAGCAGAAUAAGCACCGGCAAACUCUGUGCCAGCAGCCGCUGUAA
rnacentral:rRNA from 1 species